UGAACGCUAGCGGCAGGCCUAAUACAUGCAAGUCGUACGGGAUAGACACUUCGGGUGUCUUGAGAGUGGCGCACGGGUGCGCAACGCGUAUGCAACCAACCCCCGACGGGCGGAUAGCCGGUGGAAACGCCGGAUAAUACGCCAUGGUUCCUGAGAGGGGCAUCCCUCUCAGGAUAAAGCAGUGAUGCGGUCGGGGACGGGCAUGCGUCCCAUUAGAUUGUAGCGGGGUGACGGCCCACCUAGUCGACGAUGGGUAGGGGAUCUGAGAGGACGGUCCCCCACACUGGUACUGAGACACGGACCAGACUCCUGCGGGAGGCAGCAGUAAGGGAUAUUGGGCAAUGGUCGGAAGACUGACCCAGCCCAUGCCGCGUGAGGGAAUGAGGCCCUACGGGUCGUGAACCUCUUUUAUUCGGGGACAAGGACGGCGUCGAGAACGUUGUUUGAGGGUACCGAAGGAAUAAGCGUCGGCUAACUCCGUGCCAGCCGCGGC
rnacentral:rRNA from 1 species